CCUACGGGGGGCAGCAGUGGGGAAUAUUGGGCAAUGGGCGCAAGCCUGACCCAGCAACGCCGCGUGAAGGAAGAAGGCUUUCGGGUUGUAAACUUCUUUUCUCAGGGACGAAGCAAGUGACGGUACCUGAGGAAUAAGCCACGGCUAACUACGUGCCAGCAGCCGCGGUAAUACGUAGGUGGCAAGCGUUAUCCGGAUUUACUGGGUGUAAAGGGCGUGUAGGCGGGACUGCAAGUCAGAUGUGAAAACCAUGGGCUCAACCUGUGGCCUGCAUUUUAAACUGUAGUUCUUUAGUACUGGGGAGGCAGACGGAAUUCCUAGUGUAGCGGUGAAAUGCGUAGAUAUUAGGAGGAACACCAGUGGCGAAGGCGGUCUGCUGGACAGCAACUGACGCUGAGGCGCGAAAGCGUGGGGAGCAAACAGGAUUAGAUACCCUUGUAGUC
rnacentral:rRNA from 1 species